rnacentral:rRNA from 1 species
UACAGAGGGUGCAAGCGUUAUCCGGAUUCACUGGGUUUAAAGGGUGCGUAGGCGGCCACGCACGUCCGUUGUGAAAUCGCCCGGCUCAACUGGGCGGGGUCAGCGGAUACGGUGUGGCUAGAGCAAGCUAGGGGGCAAUGGAAUUCCCGGUGUAGUGGUGGAAUGCGUAGAUAUCGGGAGGAACACCAGUGGCGAAGGCGGUUGCCUGGAGCUUUGCUGACGCUGAUGCGCGAAAGCGUGGGGAGCGAUCCGG